AUACCAAACUACUCUACGACUUUCAUUAUUUCGAACUAUCCAGUUCAUACCAAUCCCUCCACAACCAUGUCUCCCUGCAGCUGCAACUGCUGCUCCGGCAACUGCAACUCCUGCUCUUGCAGCGACUGCAAGGUAUGCACCUACCACUUUACC
rnacentral:sRNA from 19 species